rnacentral:rRNA from 1 species
CGGGAUUAGAUACCCCACUAUGCCCAACCGUAAACAAUUAACUCACACCUAUAAGCGCCAGGGAACUACGAGCCAUGCUUAAAACCCAAAGGAUUUGACGGUGUUCCACCCAGCUAGAGGAGCCUGUUCUAUAAUCGAUGAUCCCCGAUACACCCGACCACCCCUAGCUUAUCAGUCUGUAUACCUCCGUCGAAAGCUUACCAUGUGAACGUCUACAGUAGGCCCAAGGACCCGCAUUAGCGCGUCAAUACGUCAGGUCAAGGUGCAACUUAAGGAGUGGAAAGUGAUUGGCUACAAUUUCUAACCUAGAACAAACGAAAGACUGCGUGAAAUCACAGUCACGAAGGCGGAUUUAGUAGUAAGAAGAAAAUAGAGAGUC